rnacentral:miRNA from 1 species
GUGUGAGAGAGAGAGAGAGAGAGAGAGAGAGAGAGAGAGAUUUUGUUUCUGCUUGCCUGCCUGCCUGCCUGCCUGCCUCUCUCUCUCUCUCUCUCUCCCUCCCUCCCCC